rnacentral:lncRNA from 1 species
CUUAAAACUGAAUGUAUUCAUAUGACAUCCCCUCAUCAUCUAAUUGUCAUCUACACAAUGUGAAUUUUGGUUUGACUAUUUCACCUAAUCGUAGAAAUAGAUUUUGAAAUCGACUAACCAAAGCCAAUAACUUGUUUGCUUAUCCUGAUCAAAUCAUCUUUACUUACGUACCGAAAAGCUUUUUUAAUCAAAAAGAAUAGGUUGCAUAUGAUCAAAGCCAUAAACUAUCUAUCAUCAACUAAUGUUUUGAUUCUUUUUGUCAUAUGUUAACAAAUGAACUGAUGGAUUGAUAGUUCAUACGGUGCUUGCAUGUCAAAUAAGUUGAGAGAAGCAGAUGACAAGGUAAGGACAGAAUAAUACUUACUAUCCCAGGGAUAGAGGGGUAUUGAUUAUUGUAAUAUGAGAAAAGACAUAAAAUACUUGAUAAAUAAUUAACUAAAUUAUCUUAGGUACCGUCGUAUUAUAUAGUGAACAUGAUCGUUCUCGCAACUACUUAAUUCACCUAAUUGUACGUCUACCUCAAUUAAUGCAUGCAUCUACUCUUUAUAUUUUUCCAAAGUUAUCGAACUUGGACACAGCGUUCGAGGGAUCGAUCACAUUGCUGUAGUAUUAUACUCUUUCAUGUGUUGUCCUCGGUUGGAUUGCCUUCUCGCUUCCCCAUCGUAGCCUUGGCAUGUCUACAUCCACGUUGUCAUGCAUCCUUACUCCGUCAUGUGCUCUCUCAGAGUAAAAGUCACUCUCUCUUGAGCUUUCUUUUCGAUUUUUCUGAAGCUUUGCUGCCAAGAGAACACAAAAGAAAAGAAGACGCAAUGUACCGCACAAGUAUCAAAACUCUGGAGCUUCCGGUGGCAAAAGGACACCGGCGGCUGCCAAGAGAGCUGCCAGAGAAGGAAGUGAGGGGGAAUCAUUCAGCCUUCUUGUGCUUGUUAACACUGUCCACAUCUAAACAAUACUUGAAUAUAUAUAUAUAUACUAUAUGCUACAAACCCUAACCUCACUUCUUGUGCCUGUUUUGGUUAGCAGAUUCCUUUUCCUCCCCCACAGAACUCAGUUUUUGGUGAAGCAGCUGGAUCGAAGGACGGCCUGCACGCACUGUCUUGGGUUGGAAUGCCGUGGAGGAGCCUCGGAG